rnacentral:rRNA from 1 species
GACAGAGGUUGCAAACGUUGUUCGGAAUUACUGGGCAUAAAGCGCACGUAGGCGGUUCGUUAAGUCAUGUGUGAAAUCCCCCGGCUCAACCGGGGAAUUGCGCCUGGUACUGGCGGGCUAGAGAUCGAUAGGGGUGAGCGGAACUCCAGGUGGAGCGGUGAAAUGCGUAGAUAUCUGGAGGAACACCGGUGGCGAAAGCGGCUCACUGGAUCGAAACUGACGCUGAGGUGCGAAAGCUAGGGUAGCAAACGGG